CACCGCCGCGGGAACACGUAGGGUCCGAGCGUUGUCCGGAAUUAUUGGGCGUAAGGCGUGCGCAGGCGGUUUGUUAAGACAGAUGUGAAAUCCCCGGGCUUAACCUGGGAACUGCAUUUGUGACUGGCAAGCUACAGUAUGGCAGAGGGGGGUGGAAUUCCGCGUGUAGCAGUGAAAUGCGUAGAUAUGCGGAGGAACACCGAUGGCGAAGGCAGCCCCCUGGGCCAAUACUGACGCUCAUGCACGAAAGCGUGGGGAGCAAACAGGAUUAGAUACCCCAGUAGUCCCUGUCUCUUAUACA
rnacentral:rRNA from 1 species